UGCCUGGCCCCCCAGGGCCCCCUAUAGUUGGCACCAGUGAGCUUGAGGGGGAGAGUAGAAGGAGAGACAACUGCAGGAAAAUCCCCAAAGCAUUUGGAGCUUACUACAGGAGCCAAGUCAGGUAUGUCAUGCUCCAUUACUGCUUCAGUAGAACAUCAAUAGAACACAACAGCAGAGAGAAUGCAAUGGAAAACAAGCUGAGAAUGUUCAAUAAACCCAUAGCCAUGCUCUAGGCUGUGGUCAAUAAAACUGGAUGGGAAGCUUUCCUAUUCUGCUUUUCUUUCCCUC